rnacentral:lncRNA from 1 species
UUGUACAAGUUCUUUGAAUAAGAGUUUGAAUAUAUCGUCUCUAAGCUACAAUCUUCACGACUCAAAUGAGGUUGCUUCGAUUUAUUUGGUAGCCAUCUUUCACAUCUUGUUGGUACUAAGUUCAAGGGAGCAACAAACCAAAAUGAGGAAGCAAGAUUUGAAAUGUUGAUGCCAAUGCAGGCUUUUAGAGAUUUCUUAUUUGUUUCUUUGUAGAUUAAUAUGGUUGAUAGUGUAUGAUUGCAUUCAAAUUAUUGUGAAAAUUCUUUUAAUUAUAUCUUCUUGUGUUGUUUGCAAUAAAAUUUUCAAUAUUUGACAUAAAAAAGCAUAAUAAUAUGCAUAUACAUAUUAUGCAUAACAUCACAAUCGUCUCAUUACAAUUGUGGUAUAAGAAAAAAAUCAUCUCAAAAUAAUUAUUAUUUUAAUUUUUCAAUAUAUUAUUAAUUAUUUCAUUUCACUCA